AGAAGUCCAGGGGACCGCCUAGUCAUGCUUGAGAGCAAUACCUCAGAAAGAUUCUAGCUCAGACAUGGCUGGGACUUGCCAGUCUGCGGUGGCUGUGACCCAUCUAGCCU
rnacentral:miRNA from 1 species